ACACUUACACCAUAUGAAUAAAUCAUUUUACCCCCUUAGUAUGGGCGACAGAAAAGGACUCUGCGGGAGCAAUAGACAAAGUACCGCGAGGGAAUGCUGAAAGAGAAAUGAAAUAACCCAGUACAAGCCUAAAAAAGCAGAGAUUAAACCUCGUACCUUUUGCAUCAUGAUUUAGCAAGUGAAACCCAAGCAAAGAGCACUUUAGUUUGCAAACCCGAAACUACGUGAGCUACUCCAAGCCCGCCUAUAAUUAUAGGGCAAACCCGUCUCUGUGGCAAAAGAGUGGGAAGAGCUUUGAGUAGAGGUGACAAAUCUACCGAACCUAGUUAUAGCUGGUUGCCUAAGAAUUGAAUAGAAGUUCAGCCUCCCGGCUUCUUUAUUCCAAACAGUACUACUUAUACCUGAUAUAUAAGAAUCACCGUGAGAGUUAGUCAAUAGGGGAACAGCUCCUUUGACCAAAGAUACAACUUUCUUUAGGAGGGUAAAGAUCAUAACAACUAAGGCAAAAUACCCCCGUGGGCUUAAAAGCAGCCACCAUUAUAGAAAGCGUUAAAGCUCAAAUAGACCGCCAUCCCGUAUAUUACGAUUAAUCAAAUCUUAACCCCCUAUUUCCAUUAGGCCGUCCCAUGCUAGCAUGGGAGUGAUUAUGCUAAUAUGAGUAAUAAGAGGGCUUAUACCUCUCUCCCUGCACGCGUGUAAAUCAGAACGGAUACUCCACUGAACCUUAACGACCCCAUAACAAAGAGGGCACUGAGUAAUUGAACAAUAAACAAGAAAACCACUCAACAAAUAAACCGUUAACCCCACACAGGUGUGCCCCAUAGGGAAAGACUAAUAGAAAAAGAAGGAACUCGGCAAACACUGAAGCCUCGCCUGUUUACCAAAAACAUCGCCUCUUGUAAAUCUCAAAUAAGAGGUCUCGCCUGCCCAGUGACUAAUAUGUUCAACGGCCGCGGUAUUUUGACCGUGCGAAGGUAGCGUAAUCACUUGUCUUUUAAAUGGGGACCUGUAUGAACGGCACAACGAGGGCUCUACUGUCUCCUCUUUCAAGUCAAUGAAAUUGAUCUUUCCGUGCAGAAGCGGGAAUAUGAACAUAAGACGAGAAGACCCUAUGGAGCUUUAGACACCAGGACAGCCCAUGUCAAUUACCCCAAAUAAGGGACAUAAACUGAAUGGCCCCUGCCCUAAUGUCUUUGGUUGGGGUGACCGCGGCGAAAAACGUAACCUCCGCGUGGAACGGGAGAACCUUACAUUUACUUAAUGCUCCUCCAACUAAGAGCGACAGCUCUAAGAAACAAAACUUUUGACCAAAAUUGAUCCGGCAAUGCCGAUCAACGGACCGAGUUACCCUAGGGAUAACAGCGCAAUCCCCUUUUAGAGCCCCUAUCAACAAGGGGGUUUACGACCUCGAUGUUGGAUCAGGACAUCCUAAUGGCGCAGCCACUAUUAAGGGUUCGUUUGUUCAACG
rnacentral:rRNA from 1 species